rnacentral:rRNA from 1 species
UACGAAGGGCCCAAGCGUUAUCCGGAUUGACUGGGCGUAACGCGCUCGCAGGCGGUCGCGCGCGUGGGGGGUGAAAUCUGGCCGCUUAACGGCCAGGCGCCAUCCCAUACGGCGCGACUGGAGUGAUGCAGAGGUCGGUGGAAUUGCCGGUGUAGUGGUGAAAUGCGUAGAGAUCGGCAGGAACACCCAGGGGGAAACCAGCCGACCGGGCAUCUACUGACGCUGAGGUGCGAGAGCGUGGGGAGCGAACCGG